UUUUAUUCCUUUUUGUUUCUUCUUCAUCAUCUUUCAGGCAGACCAUCAAAAAUCCAUCCUCACUCCUACAAGGACCACUCACCUCACGAUUCAUACAACACACACAAACCUCACUACUUAGUAACACGCUCGCAUCUCUUACGAUUUUGACAUACGCACAGAUGGAGAAGAUAGAGAGGGAAAGAUCGAGUGAGUUGGCCUGAGAGAAGACAGAUCGAGGGACCAAAAAGCUCGAGUGAGAGAGAGAGAGAUCGCGAUUGAGAGAAAAACGGCGAGGAGAGGUCCGUUCCAGCGACCAUAUCUCGCCGUAGCUCCGGCACCGAG
rnacentral:lncRNA from 1 species